rnacentral:rRNA from 1 species
GUCCACAACCAUACCACCCUGAAUGCACCUGAUCUGAAUGCACCUGAUCUUGUCUGACCUCAGAAGCUAAGCAGAGUUGGGCCUGGCUAGUACAUAAUGUUCUUCUGUGGUACUGUUUGGCCCCAGUGUUCU